GGGAUGGGGUCGCGUCCUAUCAGGUAGUCGGCGGGGUAACGGCCCACCGAGCCUACGACGGGUAGCCGGCCUGAGAGGGCGACCGGCCACAUUGGGACUGAGAUACGGCCCAGACUCCUACGGGAGGCAGCAGUGGGGAAUAUUGCACAAUGGGCGCAAGCCUGAUGCAGCGACGCCGCGUGCGGGAUGGAGGCCUUCGGGUUGUAAACCGCUUUUGUCGGGGAGCAAGCCUUCGGGUGAGUGUACCCUUCGAAUAAGCACCGGCUAACUACGUGCCAGCAGCCGCGGUAAUACGUAGGGUGCAAGCGUUAUCCGGAAUUAUUGGGCGUAAAGAGCUCGUAGGCGGUUCGUCGCGUCCGGUGUGAAAGUCCAUCGCUUAACGGUGGAUCUGCGCCGGGUACGGGCGGGCUGGAGUGCGGUAGGGGAGACUGGAAUUCCCGGUGUAACGGUGGAAUGUGUAGAUAUCGGGAAGAACACCAAUGGCGAAGGCAGGUCUCUGGGCCGUUACUGACGCUGAGGAGCGAAAGCGUGGGGAGCGAACAGGAUUAGAUACCCUGGUAGUCCACGCCGUAAACGGUGGAUGCUGGAUGUGGGGCCCAUUCCACGGGUUCCGUGUCGGAGCUAACGCGUUAAGCAUCCCGCCUGGGGAGUACGGCCGCAAGGCUAAAACUCAAAGAAAUUGACGGGGGCCCGCACAAGCGGCGGAGCAUGCGGAUUAAUUCGAUGCAACGCGAAGAACCUUACCUGGGCUUGACAUGUUCCGGACAGCCUCGGAGACGGGGCCUCCCCUCGGGGCCGGUUCACAGGUGGUGCAUGGUCGUCGUCAGCUCGUGUCGUGAGAUGUUGGGUUAAGUCCCGCAACGAGCGCAACCCUCGCCCCGUGUUGCCAGCACGUGAUGGUGGGAACUCACGGGGGACCGCCGGGGUUAACUCGGAGGAAGGUGGGGAUGACGUCAGAUCAUCAUGCCCCUUACGUCCAGGGCUUCACGCAUGCUACAAUGGCCGGUACAACGGGAUGCGACAUGGCGACAUGGAGCGGAUCCCUGAAAACCGGUCUCAGUUCGGAUUGGAGUCUGCAACCCGACUCCAUGAAGGCGGAGUCGCUAGUAAUCGCGGAUCAGCAACGCCGCGGUGAAUGCGUUCCCGGGCCUUGUACACACCGCCCGUCAAGUCAUGAAAGUGGGUAGCACCCGAAGCCGGUGG
rnacentral:rRNA from 1 species